rnacentral:rRNA from 1 species
AGAGUUUGAUCCUGGCUCAGGGUUAACGCUGGCGGUAUGUUUAAUACAUGCAAGUCGAACGCCCUGCACUUUGUCUUCAAUUCGCUUGAAGGUGAAGUGCAGGGAGUGGCGAACGGGUGAGUAACACGUUGGAACCUGCCUCGAACUCAGGGAUAACAUCUAGAAAUAGGUGCUAAUACCGGAUAGUCCCGAAAGGGUAAAGAUUUUUCGGUUCGAGAGGGGCCUGCGGCCUAUCAGCUUGUUGGUGAGGUAAUGGCUUACCAAGGCUAUGACGGGUAACUGGUCUGAGAGGAUGACCAGUCACAAUGGGACUGAGACACGGCCCAUACUCCUACGGGAGGCAGCAGUAGAGAAUCUUCCACAAUGGGCGAAAGCCUGAUGGAGCAAUACCGCGUGAGUGAUGAAGGUCGAAAGAUCGUAAAACUCUUUUCUGAGGGAAGAAUUAUGACGGUACCUCAGGAAUAAGCACCGGCUAACUCCGUGCCAGCAGCCGCGGNAAUACGGAGGGUGCAAGCGUUACCCGGAAUCAUUGGGCGUAAAGCGUCCGCAGGCGUUAUUAAGCUAGAUAUUAAAUCUCGAAGCCCAACUUCGAGGCUGUGUUUAGAACUGAUAAACUAGAGACAUUCAGAGGUACGUAGAAUUCUGUGUGUAGGGGUAAAAUCCGUAGAUACACAGAGGAAUACCAAAAGCGAAGGCAGCGUACUGGGAAUGUUCUGACGCUCAUGGACGAAAGCGUAGGUAGCGAACGGGAUUAGAUACCCCGGUAGUCUACGCCGUAAACGAUGGAUACUAGGUGUUGGAGGACUCGAUCCUUUCAGUGCCGACGCUAACGCAUUAAGUAUCCCGCCUGGGGAGUACGGUCGCAAGAUUAAAACUCAAAGGAAUAGACGGGGACCCACACAAGCGGUGGAGCAUCUGGUUUAAUUCGAUAUUGAGCGAGGAACCUUACCUGGGUUUGACAUCCCGAGAAUUCUCUGGAAACAGAGAAGUGCCUUUUGGAACUCGGUGACAGGUGCUGCAUGGUUGUCGUCAGCUCGUG